rnacentral:rRNA from 1 species
UGGUCCGCCCCUUCGGGGAGCGGGUCACUGGCCUCCUAUGUUCCUAACGGUCCUCAUCCGCGAGGGUGGGGAAUCAACCGCUAGGAUCGUUUACUUUGAGGAAAUUAGAGUGUUCAAAGCAGGCGUAACUCGCCUCCGAAUACGUUAGCAUGGGAUAAUGGAAUACGACUUCGGUCUUGUUUCGUUGGUUUCGCUUGGCUGAAGUAAUGAUUGAUAGGGACAGUUGGGGGCAUUAGUAUUUAGUUGUCAGAGGUGAAAUUCUAGGAUUUACUAAAGACUGACCAAUGCGAAAGCAUUUGCCAAGGAUGUUUUCAUUAAUCAAGAACGAAAGUAGGGGGAUCGAAGACGAUCAGAUACCGUCGUAGUCUCUACCGUAAACUAUGCCGACCAGGGAUCCGGAGAGUUUGCAUGGAUGACUCCCCGGGCACCUUGUGAGAAAUCAUAAGUGUUUGGGUUUUGGGGGGAGUAUGGUCGCAAGGCUGAAACUUAA